rnacentral:rRNA from 1 species
AAACCAACAGGGAUUGCCUUAGUAACUGCGAGUGAAGCGGCAAGAGCUCAAAUUUGAAAUCUGGCAUCCGCCCGAAUUGUAAUUUGUAGAAGCAACUUUUGAAUUAGUCCUUGCAUAUGUUCCUUGGAACAGGACAUCAUAGAGGGUGAGAAUCCCGUUCAUGGUGGGGAGUCUAUUUCUUUGUAAAGUGCUUUCGACGAGUCGAGUUGUUUGGGAAUGCAGCUCUAAGUGGGUGGUAAAUUCCAUCUAAAGCUAAAUAUUGGCGAGAGACCGAUAGCGAACAAGUACAGUGAUGGAAAGAUGAAAAGUACUCCGAAAGGAGAGUGAAAUAGGACGUGAAAUUGUUGAAAGGGAAGUGCUUGAGAUCAGUGAUAGAGUUUAGUGAUCAGCUUUCUUUUUAGUUUGUGCACUUGCUAUUCUCUAGGCCAGCAUCAGUUUGGAAGGUAGGAUAAUUGCAUAGGAAUGUGGCUGUUUCGGCAGUGUUAUAGCCUGUGUCGAUACUACUUGCUAGACUGAGGACCGCGCUUUUGCUAGGAUGUUGGCAUAAUGAUCUUAAGCAGC